GCUUUUCAAAAGAGGAGUUGGAAUGUCAGCAAACACAACGAGGCUGGAAACAAUAGCAAUACUUUUACUUAUAGCAGCAACUACUACAGCC